CGGAAAGGUGGCAAACUGUAAACUGCUCGGAGAGAGAGCGCGCACGGGUCGGAGCGAAAGGUAGAUAAUUACGGAGUAAUUCUAAUUAAGGUGUAGUCAAUCAGUUAAUUGGCGCUUGGUUGAUGAGGGAACAAUCUCUUACGGUGUGUUCACACACAAAGGCUGUAGAAUAAAGGACUGUGAACCAUCA